rnacentral:rRNA from 1 species
UGGGGAAUCUUCCGCAAUGGACGAAAGUCUGACGGAGCAACGCCGCGUGAGUGAUGACGGCCUUCGGGUUGUAAAGCUCUGUUAAUCGGGACGAAAGGCCUUCUUGCGAAUAGUUAGAAGGAUUGACGGUACCGGAAUAGAAAGCCACGGCUAACUACGUGCCAGCAGCCGCGGUAAUACGUAGGUGGCAAGCGUUGUCCGGAAUUAUUGGGCGUAAAGCGCGCGCAGGCGGAUUGGUCAGUCUGUCUUAAAAGUUCGGGGCUUAACCCCGUGAUGGGAUGGAAACUGCCAAUCUAGAGUAUCGGAGAGGAAAGUGGAAUUCCUAGUGUAGCGGUGAAAUGCGUAGAUAUCAGGAAGAACACCAGUGGCGAAGGCGACUUUCUGGACGAAAACUGACGCUGAGGCGCGAAAGCCAGGGGAGCGAACGGGAUUAGAUACCCCGGUAGUCCUGGCCGUAAACGAUGGGUACUAGGUGUAGGAGGUAUCGACCCCUUCUGUGCCGGAGUUAACGCAAUAAGUACCCCGCCUGGGGAGUACGACCGCAAGGUUG